ACCAAUUGGAGUCUUUCAGAAACAUAGAAAGAAUCACAGGUAAACAUUGGAAAAGUUGAGGCAUCACCAGUUGUAAUCCAUGGGAACUGUUUACAUGAAAGCUGAAAGAACUUUUUAUCUUUUCAGAAAGUUUUCCUAUUGGACCUAUUCUCAAACAGAACAGCUCUGAUGUGCAUCAAACUCACUGACCUUAGGCCUAAACUAAUCAAAACAAAUCACAAAUAUAUAGAUGCAAUGUGAUGGUGACAUGAAGUGCAUCCUACAAUAGUUUCUUCAUUCAUUCAAAUGCAUAAUAGGUAUACAAAAUGAUCAACAAUCAUAAUUUUUACAUAUACUGAAAUGCAAAAGUAUAAACUUACAGCAGGGUG
rnacentral:misc_RNA from 1 species